ACCUACGGGAGGCUGCAGUGAGGAAUUUUGCGCAAUGGGGGAAACCCUGACGCAGCAACGCCGCGUGAGUGAAGAAGGCCCUCGGGUUGUAAAGCUCUGUCAAGUGGGAAGAACCUUUUUCGGUUGAACAGGCCGAAAAAUUGACGGUACCGCUGAAGGAAGCACCGGCUAACUCCGUGCCAGCAGCCGCGGUAAUACGGAGGGUGCAAGCGUUAUUCGGAUUUAUUGGGCGUAAAGGGCGUGUAGGUGGUCUGAUAAGUCAGGUGUGAAAGCCCUUGGCUUAACCAAGGAAGUGCAUUUGAAACUAUCAGACUUGAGUACGGGAGGGGGAAGUGGAAUUCCUGGUGUAGAGGUGAAAUUCGUAGAUAUCAGGAGGAAUACCGGUGGCGAAGGCGACUUCCUGGACCGAUACUGACACUGAGACGCGAAAGCGUGGGGAGCAAACAGGAUUAGAUACCCGGGUAGUCC
rnacentral:rRNA from 1 species